ensembl:lncRNA EDIL3-DT EDIL3 divergent transcript
GAGGGAGGUAGGGAGAGAGACAAACACAGAGCUAGAGAAAUUGAAAGAGAAACAUUCUCGAAGGCAAAGAGUUGAAAGGUGAAUCUACUAAGAAAAGAAUAACAGAGUGCAAUUAGCCAUGGAACUACAUCUCCAUCUGCCUCCUUUAAAGGAUGAGUCCUUUAAAGAGCCUUUGGAAGGAAUUGGGCCAUGAGAAGAGCCCUCAUGAAUGGGAUUAGUUCCCUUAUAAGAAGAGACACCAAGGAAGUGAUCUUUCUCUGCCCUCUGCUAUGUGAAGACAAGGUAAGAAGACAGCUAUGAACCAAGAAGCAGGCCCUUACCAGACACCAAAUCUGCUGGUGCAUUGAUCUUGGACUUCUCAGCCUCCAGGACUGUGAGAAAUAAAUGUUUAUUGUUGAAGCCACCCAGUCUACAGUAAUUUGUUAUAGCAGCUGAAAUUGACUAAGACAAUUUAAAAAAAUUAAUCUCAUUGACUAUCAAUUUGGAUUCUGGAGCAUACCUGGAUUCAGGUAUACAUUGGAUUUGGGCAUAUCUGAACUGGAAUAUGGUCUCUAUCAUUCUAACUCCUUUAACUAAGUUAAAGUCUGUUAAGUGCCAAACCUCAGUAUUCUCAUCUGUAAAAUGAAGGUAGUGAUAGUAUCAAACUGAUAGUGGUAGGUUGUGGUGGUGCACAAAAGGGCCUAGUCCAGCACUGGACACAUGGUGAUGAUGAUGAAAGAUAAUGAUACUGAUAAAUAAGAAGACAAUACUAAUAUACAUAAUUCCAAAAGAAUUUUUCUUAAUACGUGAUCCUCUUCACUCCCCGUCUCCCAUCCCCAUUAAAUUACCUGGAAUUUUUUAGUCCAUCUUUCAGUUUGUCAAGCAACGAAUAACACUAAAGGUAGUCUUUUUUAUUAUCGUGUAAUUAUGGAAUUUUUUAUUAUUUUGCAUUUUAAAACUUUGUUUUGAAUUUCCAAAACUUUUUAUUUAAUAUCUAAAAUGUCUUUCUACUAAAAUUUUGCUCUCACCGUCUGAGACUCAAAGCAGAAAACCCAGCCAAGACCAUCUCAAAUUCUGACCUACAGAACUGGGAGUUAAUAAUUGGUGUUGUUUUAAACUGCUGAGUCUGUGGUAGUUUGCUAUGAAGACUAAUAUAGUUGGUUACUAUUGUUAUUCUAAUUUCAGGGAGAAGGAAUAAGUCAUGGAGCGGUUAGGUUAAUUGUCCAUCCUCUCAAGUUAGUAAGUGUUGGAGCCGAUAAGUGAAUCUAAACAGCGUGAAUCUAAAGCCCACUGCAUACUUCUGCCAACAAUUAUGAAGGGUCGACUGUAUGCUAAGCUCUAAUGCAUUUUUACAUAUAUUGCUUUACUAAAUAGGUUACCUCAACAACCUUUAUGAGGUAAAUAUUAUUAUUAUUUGCAUUUGACUACUGAGGAAACCAAGAAUCAAAACCUUUAAGUACAUUGCCCAGGAUCAAGGUGGCGGUGAGGAAUGGAGCCAAGAGCUAGUAUCAGAGCCCUGCUCUGGUUCCAGUAGUGAUUUUCACAGCCAUUGUGUUAAAAUGCCUAUUUAGACAGUGGUCUAACUUACUUUAUUUAUUGACAUUUUCAAUUUCAAUGGUUAUAAUUAUAAUUGUCAUUUUUUAGUACAGUUUGCAUUUCUCCCUGAUCUUCUUGAUGCAUCAUUUUAGAAUAUACAUUGCUGAAAUGUAGAAUUUCAAGCACAUUUUAAAUUCUCUACAAUAUUUGCAUAACUCAUAACACUUUUCUUCAUUGCUCCCACAAGCACCAAGAUAAUUCUUUCCUCCAACCCUCUGCUCAUGCUGUUAUCCCCACCUGAAAUGCCCUCUUACAAAUCCUACUAGCUGAAUUACAGUUUCCAUUUAAGACCUCCCCGAAUUAUUCUAGCACCAGAGAACCAUCAUUUCUUAGAAUUAACAGUGCUUUUAAUUUUUUUUCUAGUUGUUUCACUUGUGUUAAUCUUAUCUUUCCAAAGAAUUAUAUGGUUCUUACCAUUUAGAUAACUGCAUGUCUUAGACAUAGCUGAGUGUUAUGUUUUAAAUUUCUUCAGUCUUUCCACUGUGAACACUAAGGAAAAUUAAUUUUUAAGACUACAGAUUUGAUACCAAAUCCCUACUUCCUAAUAUUUCACUGCCUGAUUCCCUAAUGGAUGCUCUUUCCAGAAAAUGUGUAGGGUCAUUAAGCAAGAGUGUACCUUUGCUUUCAGAAUUUGACCCUGGUAGGAGAAAUUUCUGGUGCUUCUAAUUCUUUCCCUCCAGUUUCCCAGUCAAACUCAUUUCAGUGACUUGGUUUUUAGCUUCCUGAAAUAUGUUUGAAUAAUUAAUAUAUACACACAAUAAAAGUUCAAAGGUACAAAAGAGUGUGCAGGAAAAUAAAAGUUUUCCUCCUAAUGACAUUCCCUUCUUACACAAGGUUAUUCCCUCAGGGCCUACUGCUGAUAUCUAGUAGCUAUGCUUGUGUAUCCUUCUAAAGAUACACAAACACACCCCCCUAUAUAUGUGUGUUUAUAUGUACUUGUGCAUACAUGUGUGUAUAUAUAGUGUGUAUAUGUGUACACACAUACUUUUUACAAAAGUUACUAAAUUAUACAAUCAUGGAUCUUGCUUUUCUUCACAAACGUUCUGUGUUUUGAAAUUGUAUCAAGGACUGCAUAGUAUCUGUAUAUGUAAAUCCUUUUUGAUAGACAUUUAAGUUGCUUCCAAUCUUUUGCUAUUGCAAGCAAUAUUACAUGAAUACACAUUUUGCACAUGUGUGCAAGAUAAACAUAUUAGAAUAGAUUUGUUGAAGUAACAUUGUUGGUGGGGGGAAUGUUCAUAUAAAAUUGUGAUAGAUAUUACCAAUUUGCCAUUCAUAAGGUAUCUAUGAGUUCACCCUUCCACCUGUACUGUAUCAGACAGCUUGUCUCUCUUUAGUGUGGCUGAUAUGAUUCUUAACAGUCUUUGAAAGACAAAAAAAGGUAUCUCAUGGUUUUGAACACCUAUUAUUUUUACUGGGUUUGAGCAACUUUUCGCAUAUUUAAAAAUAAUUAUUUUCUUUAUGUGAACUGGCAUUUCAUGUAUUUUGCUUUUAUUUCUACUGAUUUGCUAACCUUUUUAUUGAUUGGUAGGAGAUCUGUAUAAGGAAAUUCAUCCAUUUGGGGUCACAUUAAUGUCAAAAAAUUUAUCCAGCUGGUUCUUGUCCUUUAACCUAGUUUACACCUAUUUGUUUGAUUUUAUUGUGCUAAAAUUGCUAAAAUAUUUUAUAUUUGGGUGAUGAAAUUUAUCCACCUUUGCUUUAAGAUUUCUAGGUUUUGAUAUUUGCUAAGAUAGGCUUUCAGUAUUCUGAAUUUAUAAACAUAUCUUACAGUGUCUUAUAGUAGUUUUAUGAAUAUUUCAUGUGUGUUUUUACAAUUCUUACCAAAUUAAAAUUUGAGAGAUAGUAUUUGUUACUAUCUUACUUGUUCUCUCAAAAACUACCAGUAAUAACAAAACCAUAUAUUGAAUAAAUCCAUAUAUUUCAAAUUAAUAUGACAUGCCAACUCACUCACUUAGUCACUAUAUAUUUGGCUCUACUGCUUGCUUUUAUAGACUGUUCCAUUGGGUUAUCUAUUCGUGUGCCAGUACUACA